CAACUACUCCCUCUGUCCCAAAUUUCUUGUCUUAUAUUUGUCUAGAUAUGGAUGUAUCUAAUACUAAAAUGUGACUUAAUACAUCCGUAUCUUGACAAAUCUAAGAAAAGAAUUUUGGGACGGAAGGAGUACUUU
rnacentral:pre_miRNA from 1 species